rnacentral:tRNA from 2 species
GGGCGGUUAGCUCAGUGGUAGAGCACUACCUUGACAUGGUAGGGGUCACAGGUUCAAACCCUGUACCGCCCACCA